rnacentral:tRNA from 1 species
GCCCCGAUAGUGUAGUGGUUAUCAUCGAGGACUGUCACUCCUUGGACCUGGGUUCGAUCCCCAGUCGGGGCG